rnacentral:rRNA from 1 species
CCUACGGGGGGCAGCAGUGGGGAAUAUUAGACAAUGGGCGAAAGCCUGAUCCAGCCAUGCCGCGUGUGUGAAGAAGGCCUUCGGGUUGUAAAGCACUUUCAGUGGGGAAGAAAGCCUUGGGGCUAAUACCCUCGAGGAAGGACAUCACCCACAGAAGAAGCACCGGCUAACUCCGUGCCAGCAGCCGCGGUAAUACGGAGGGUGCGAGCGUUAAUCGGAAUUACUGGGCGUAAAGCGCGCGUAGGCGGUCUGAUAAGCCGGUUGUGAAAGCCCCGGGCUCAACCUGGGAACGGCAUCCGGAACUGUCAGGCUAGAGUGCAGGAGAGGAAGGUAGAAUUCCCGGUGUAGCGGUGAAAUGCGUAGAGAUCGGGAGGAAUACCAGUGGCGAAGGCGGCCUUCUGGACUGACACUGACGCUGAGGUGCGAAAGCGUGGGUAGCAAACAGGAUUAGAUACCCCAGUAGU